UGGCGGCGUGCCUAAUACAUGCAAGUCGAACGGUCUUUCUAUGGAAGCUUGCUUCCACUGAGAAGAUAGUGGCGAACGGGUGAGUAACACGUGGGUAACCUGCCCAUAAGAGGGGGAUAACAUCCGGAAACGGGUGCUAAUACCGCAUAGUUUUCUUGAUCGCAUGAUUGAGAAAGGAAAGACGGCCUUUGUGCUGUCGCUUAUGGAUGGACCCGCGGCGUAUUAGUUAGUUGGUGAGGUAACGGCUCACCAAGACGAUGAUACGUAGCCGACCUGAGAGGGUGAUCGGCCACAUUGGGACUGAGACACGGCCCAAACUCCUACGGGAGGCAGCAGUAGGGAAUCUUCCGCAAUGGACGAAAGUCUGACGGAGCAACGCCGCGUGAGUGAAGAAAAGGUUUUCGGAUCGUAAAACUCUGUUGUCAGAGAAGAACAAGUUGGAGAGUAACUGCUCCAGCCUUGACGGUAUCUGACCAGAAAGCCACGGCUAACUACGUGCCAGCCGCGGC
rnacentral:rRNA from 1 species